rnacentral:rRNA from 1 species
GACGAACGCUGGCGGCGUGCCUAACACAUGCAAGUGGAGCGACGAACCAGGGCUUGCCCUGGGGCUAAGCCGCGAACGGGUGAGUAACACGUGGGUAACCUGCCCCGAUGAUUGGGACAACCCGAGGAAACUCGGGCUAAUACCGAAUGUGCUCGUGAACCACAAGGUUCACGUGGAAAGGAAGCUUCGGCCUCCGCAUCGGGAUGGGCCCGCGGCCCAUUAGUUUGUUGGUGAGGUAAUGGCUCACCAAGACUUCGAUGGGUAGCUGGUCUGAGAGGACGAUCAGCCACACUGGGACUGAGACACGGCCCAGACUCCUACGGGAGGCAGCAGUGGGGAAUCUUGCACAAUGCGCGAAAGCGUGAUGCAGCAACGCCGCGUGGGGGAAGACGGCCUUCGGGUUGUAAACCCCUUUCAGUUGGGACGAAGCUUCGCCGGUGAAUAGCCGGCCGGAGUGACGGUACCUUCAGAAGAAGCCCCGGCUAACUACGUGCCAGCCGCCGCGGUAACAC